GAACAUGUUGAUUGUUAUUGUCGCCCCAGUCUUACAUGCAUCUUUUGAUGCAAGAUGGUGAUUGACAUUUCUGUAUCAGAUUC